rnacentral:rRNA from 1 species
CCUACGGGAGGCAGCAGUGAGGAAUAUUGGUCAAUGGCCGGAAGGCUGAACCAGCCAUGCCGCGUGAAGGUCAGUGCCCUAUGGGCGUUAAACUUCUUUUGUGCGGGAGCAAUAAUGGUCACGUGUGGCCAGACGAGAGUACCGUACGAAUAAGCAUCGGCUAACUCCGUGCCAGCAGCCGCGGUAAUACGGGGGAUGCAAGCGUUAGACGGAUAGAGUGGGUUGAAGGGGGGGGUAGGCUGUGAGGUAAGGCAGCGGUGAAAUGCCCCCGCUCAACGGGGUGAAGUGCCAUUGAUACUGCCUUGCUGGAAUGCGGAUGCCGUGGGAGGAAU